rnacentral:rRNA from 1 species
GAUGAACGCUGGCGGCGUGCCUAACACAUGCGAGUCGAGCGAAAAGACGAGGAGCUUGCUCCCCUGACGUUAGCGGCGGACGGGUGAGUAACACGUGGAUAACCUACCUCUAAGACUGGGAUAACUUCGGGAAACCGGAGCUAAUACCGGAUAAUAUAUUGUACCGCAUGGUGCAAUAGUGCAAGACGGUUUUCCUGUCACUAAUAGCCGGAUCCGCGUCGGAUUAGCUAGUUGGUAAGGUAACGGCCUACCAAGGCUACGAUGCGUAGCCGACCUGAGAGGGUGAUCGGCCACACUGGAACUGAGACACGGUCCAGACUCCUACGGGAGGCAGCAGUGGGGAAUAUUGGGCAAUGGGCGAAAGCCUGACGCAGCCACGCCGCGUGAGUGAUGAAGGCCUUCGGGUCGUAAAGCUCUUUUAUUAGGGAAGAACAGAUGUGGAUGUAACUCUGGACGUUUUGACGGUACCUAAAGAGAAAGCCACGGCUAACUUCGUG